GAUGAACGCUGGCGGCGUGCCUAAUACAUGCAAGUCGAGCGAACAGAUGAGGAGCUUGCUCCUCUGACGUUAGCGGCGGACGGGUGAGUAACACGUGGAUAACCUACCUAUAAGACUGGGAUAACUUCGGGAAACCGGAGCUAAUACCGGAUAAUAUAUUGAACCGCAUGGUUCAAUAGUGAAAGGCGGUUUUGCUGUCACUUAUAGAUGGAUCCGCGCCGCAUUAGCUAGUUGGUAAGGUAACGGCUUACCAAGGCAACGAUGCGUAGCCGACCUGAGAGGGUGAUCGGCCACACUGGAACUGAGACACGGUCCAGACUCCUACGGGAGGCAGCAGUAGGGAAUCUUCCGCAAUGGGCGAAAGCCUGACGGAGCAACGCCGCGUGAGUGAUGAAGGUCUACGGAUCGUAAAACUCUGUUAUUAGGGAAGAACAAAUGUGUAAGUAACUAUGCACGUCUUGACGGUACCUAAUCAGAAAGCCACGGCUAACUACGUG
rnacentral:rRNA from 1 species